rnacentral:lncRNA from 1 species
UAUCCUUAUUUGUAAAUUUUCACUUGUAUUUUGGAGUGAAAUAUAUUUGGUAGUGCCCGAGGACGUAGGCAAAAUUUGUUGAACCUCGUUAAAAUUCUAGUGUUCUUUAUUGUUUAUUUUGCAUAUUUUGCGAGUGUGAUUGUAGUGAUUUAUUGUACUAUUAAAUUACGAUAGAGGGAUAUUAUGACUAGAAAAGACCUGAUACUUAAGCGAUCCUCGUGAUCCACCUCUCUUUCCUGGGAAUUGAACUUAGUGUGAUUUUUUAGUAAGAUAAUUUUACUCUUUUACAAGCUUCCGCGCAACAAUAUGCUUUGUACAAAACAGUCUAAAGUCGAUCUCGACUUUCUAUCAAGCGACCUUCUCCUUUAUUCUUAAACCACAAAUUACCUCGAGUAUGGGUUUGAAUAACAGAAACCAAAUCACAGAAUGAAAACUUUAAUCUAACUUUUAGUAGGAAAGAUAAUUCUC